rnacentral:rRNA from 1 species
UACGUAGGUGGCGAGCGUUGUCCGGAUUUACUGGGCGUAAAGGGCGUGCAGGCGGUUUGUUAAGUCUAGGGUGAAAGCUCCCGGCUCAACUGGGAGAGGUCCUUGGAUACUGGCAGACUUGAGGAGGGUAGAGGAGAGUGGAAUUCCCGGUGUAGUGGUGAUAUGCGUAGAUAUCGGGAGGAACACCAGUGGCGAAGGCGGCUCUCUGGACAGUUCCUGACGCUGAGGCACGAAGGCCAGGGGAGCAAACGGG